UGUCAUGUCUUGUAAGGUGAGUCUUGCUCUGACUUGUCUGCUCCUCCCACGCCAAAGUUUCCCAACACACCUACUGUUGCCACUCUGAUCAGGAUAUCGUAUUUUCAGUGAUCAGACUGACAGGGAAGCAAGACAGCAGACGACUGGACGAGCCAACGGCAGCAGCAAAACCGCCAGCUCACACGUUUGAAGAUCCCAGAGUUUUCUUAAUUGUUUCUCUUUACAAAGUUGUAGUGUGUUUUGUCCUUCCCUUGAACUUCUUCUAACACCAUGGAGGAGGACGACUGCAGACACAGCCAGUGCCACAGCCACGGGGCCUGCGAGGCUCCUUCAGACGGCGGCGAUAAUCUGGUUUGUACAUGUGAUCUGGGCUACAGCGGGGAAUUCUGCGAAACAACAGUCAACGGGCAUUUGAGUACACCACUGACCAUAAGCGUAAUUGUUGUCAUCGUCGGGUUGGUGAUCCUCGCUUUUGUCUUUGCUAAGAUAAGGCAAAGGCAAAAGAGGAACAAGAGAAAACAACUGGCAGCACAACAAGGUUAUAACGUAUCACCUUAAUGUGGAUAAAUAUGGAAUAUGUCUAAGGUAAACAACGUCUUGGAUAAUCCCCCCCAUCGUGUUCCUGCUGCAGCCUCUGAAAGGCACAAACACUGAAUUUACUGAAGCACCUUGACUGAUGAGCCCGUUUGCUUUGUUCAGCUGACACAAAUAAUAUUUUCUGCAGGACAAAUAUGAGGUUGUGUUGGAUUUUGUUUCUACAGUCAUGACACUGUCCGUGUCUUUAUAGUUGAGCUAAACUCACUCUUUGACAUUUAUUUCAUGCAAAGUCAUGCCAAGCACAGUGAUGCAAAUGUUCAACCACUUUCUAUGAUGAAGCAGGAGCUUUGGCCGGAGGCAUUGAUCUCAUGACAACCAGCUUCUUGUAUUUAACUGGUGUUAGCAAGGAUUUGUCAAGGUCAUAAGGUUUUUGGUAUCUCUACAAACGAUAUAAUUUACCCAUAAUUGCAUAGUUUUAUGUUUGAAAUAAUUUAUGUGCUGUGUAGUUCACAUUUUAGUGCUUUUGGUCUGUUUUUUUUUCUUUUGGUCUGUUUUUUUUUUUAAGCUAGAUGAGGAAAGUUUUAUUAUAUUUUAUGUCCUGACAAAAUAUGCCACACCUUGCAGACUUUUUUUAUAUUUAGAAAAAUAUGUGGGUCCAUCUGAUCAUUGUCUAAUGCAUUGUCAUAAUGUUUUUUAAUCCAUUUUAUUUCCUUGAUUAUGCACACAACUGAUAAUUUUGUGUUCCAUAAUAAUCACAACCACUACCAAUGCAAAUCCAAACUGCAUAGUUAUCUGUCCUUCUGUUUAUUUAUUUUUUUCUUUGUUGUUAAGCAGAACAUUUGUUUCUGUUUUUGUUCUGUGGAGCAUUUGUUUGGUGAAAGUAUCCAAGCAAUUUUUUUUUUUUUAAGUGGUAGUGUUUCCAAUUUUCCUUGUAAAUAACUAUUUGAUCCAUGUAAUGUCUUAAUUCAUGGAUCAGAUCAUGGCUCUGUCAUGUAACUGCAUAUAAAAUGAGCUUCAAUUAAACACCUUUUAGGUGUUUGAGAUGUUUGAAGAAAGCAGAGAUUCAGUUUGGAACCAACUCUAUUCUUUUUAGUUACUGAAUUGAUUGUCUGGUUAGAACACUUAUUUCUCCAAACUUAUGGUCCUUCAGAUGGUUGUUUGCUAUAGGUAAGAUGCUGACUGCAUUCAAUGUCCCCACAGAACCCUUGUGUCAAAGAUCUAAGUAAACCCAUUUUAAAGUGGUCACUUUAUGCACUCUACAGCACCAGUAAAACAAAAGGUUUGUGUGUAUAUAGAAGGCAUUGGCCAUGUAAAUUAUGUUUGAAAAAUAGCUUCUUCUUUUUUGUACAAAACUGAACUAUGAAUGUUAAGCAGAUCAUUUGUGGAUGUCUGCUUUAAUAAUCUGAUUUUGACAAACUGCAAGACUUGUUUACAGUUAGUUAUUUUUAUUGAGCACAAGACUAACAAUCUGUUUCCAACAAAACCAAAAUCAAGUCUUUGUUUUAGUGACUUGUUCUUUUUCUUUUUUCUUUCUUUUUGUUAGUAAUUUUUUCCCAAAUUACUCCGAGUAAACUGGAGUUUUCACAUUUCUAAGCUCUGCUGCUGAACAUCUAUAUUGUCACAAUAGGGUAAUUAGUCCUUAAUUUCUCAGUAGAUUUUCUGGCGAGUUUAAUUUUAUACAUCUAUAAAGGAAAAAUGCAGUAAACUUUUUAAAUGCUUUUUAUAUACACUGUUAAACAGUUGUACACAAUAUAACACUUAUCCUUUAUUUUAUUCUAAUAAAAUGUAUAAAACCGUUUCUUUCUAAA